rnacentral:rRNA from 1 species
ACCUUACCAGGUCUUGACAUACUAUGCAAAUCUAAGAGAUUAGACGUUCCCUUCGGGGACAUGGAUACAGGUGGUGCAUGGUUGUCGUCAGCUCGUGUCGUGAGAUGUUGGGUUAAGUCCCGCAACGAGCGCAACCCUUAUUAUCAGUUGCCAGCAUUAAGUUGGGCACUCUGGUGAGACUGCCGGUGACAAACCGGAGGAAGGUGGGGAUGACGUCAAAUCAUCAUGCCCCUUAUGACCUGGGCUACACACGUGCUACAAUGGAUGGUACAACGAGUUGCGAACUCGCGAGAGCAAGCUAAUCUCUUAAAGCCAUUCUCAGUUCGGAUUGUAGGCUGCAACUCGCCUACAUGAAGUCGGAAUCGCUAGUAAUCGCGGAUCAGCAUGCCGCGGUGAAUACGUUCCCGGGCCUUGCACACACCGCCCGU